CAACCAAAGCUGGCGACCGGCGCACGGGUGAGUAACACGUAUCCAACCUGCCUCAUACUCGGGGAUAGCCUUUCGAAAGAAAGAUUAAUAUCCGAUAGCAUAUAUUUCCCGCAUGGGUUUUAUACUAAAGAAAUUCGGUAUGAGAUGGGGAUGCGUUCCAUUAGUUUGUUGGGGGGUAACGGCCCACCAAGACUACGAUGGAUAGGGGUUCUGAGAGGAAGGUCCCCCACAUUGGAACUGAGACACGGUCCAA
rnacentral:rRNA from 1 species